rfam:Schistosoma mansoni, Puerto Rico, WGS project CABG01000000 data, contig: 0125
GCAUUGCUGAGGAGUCCUACAAUCGGACGAAACGGUCGUCCAGUGC